AUUGAACGCUGGCGGCAUGCCUUACACAUGCAAGUCGAACGGCAGCACGGGAGCAAUCCUGGUGGCGAGUGGCGAACGGGUGAGUAAUAUAUCGGAACGUGCCCGGUCGUGGGGGAUAACGUAGCGAAAGCUACGCUAAUACCGCAUACGAUCUACGGAUGAAAGCGGGGGAUCGCAAGACCUCGCGCGAUUGGAGCGGCCGAUAUCAGAUUAGGUAGUUGGUGAGGUAAAGGCUCACCAAGCCGACGAUCUGUAGCUGGUCUGAGAGGACGACCAGCCACACUGGGACUGAGACACGGCCCAGACUCCUACGGGAGGCAGCAGUGGGGAAUUUUGGACAAUGGGCGCAAGCCUGAUCCAGCAAUGCCGCGUGCAGGAUGAAGGCCUUCGGGUUGUAAACUGCUUUUGUACGGAACGAAACGGUGAGCUCUAAUACAGUUUGCUAAUGACGGUACCGUAAGAAUAAGCACCGGCUAACUUCGUG
rnacentral:rRNA from 1 species